GACGUAGGGCGCGAGCGUUGUCCGGAUUUAUUGGGCGUAAAGAGCUCGUAGGCGGCUUGUCGCGUCGUCCGUGAAAACCUGUGGCUCAACUGCAGGCUUGCGGUCGAUACGGGCAGGCUGGAGUUCGGUAGGGGAGACUGGAAUUCAUGGUGUAGCAGUGAAAUGCGUAGAGAUCAUGAGGAAGACCAGUGGCGAAGGCGGGUCUCUGGACAGUUCCUUACACUGAGACACGAAGGCCAGGGGAGCAAACGGG
rnacentral:rRNA from 1 species